GCUAUGUCUAGGCUGAUCCCCGAAAACCCGUACACCUCUGCGGGCUGGCAUAGCCGUCAAAAUCAGAGG
rnacentral:ncRNA from 1 species